GCCGGACCCGACUGCUAUCGGAUUGGGACUAAGCCAUGCGAGUCAACUCCGCAAGGGGUGGCGCACGGCUCAGUAACACGUAGUCAACCUACCCUAGGGACGGGGAUAACCUCGGGAAACUGAGGCUAAACCCCGAUAGGCUAUAGCCUCUGGAAUGAGCUAUAGCUGAAAUCUAUAUGGCCCUAGGAUGGGACUGCGGCCGAUCAGGUAGUUGGUGGGGUAAUGGCCCACCAAGCCUAUAACCGGUGCGGGCUCUGAGAGGAGGAGCCCGGAGAUGGGCACUGAGACAAGGGCCCAGGUCCUAUGGGGCGCAGCAGGCGCGAAACCUCCGCAAUGGGCGAAAGCCCGACGGGGUCAGUCCGAGUGGUUCCCGCUGAGGGAACCUUUUGCCAGCUGUAAACAGGCUGGCGAAUAAGGGGUGGGCAAGUUUGGUGUCAGCCGCCGCGGUAAUACCAGCACCCCGAGUGGUCGGGACGAUUAUUGGGCCUAAAGCAUCCGUAGCCGGCCCAGUAAGUCCUCCGUUAAAUCCAACGGCUUAACCGUUGGGCUGCGGAGGAUACUGCUAAGCUAGGGGGCGGGAGAGGCGAGGGGUAUUCCCAGGGUAGGGGUAAAAUCCGUUGAUCCUGGGAGGACCACCAGUGGCGAAGGCGCCUCGCUAGAACGCGCCCGACGGUGAGGGAUGAAAGCUGGGGGAGCGAACCGGAUUAGAUACCCGGGUAGUCCCAGCCGUAAACGAUGUAGGCUCGAUGUUGGGUUACCCAAGUGGUAGCCCAGUGUCGCAGGGAAGCCGUUAAGCCUACCGCCUGGGGAGUACGGCCGCAAGGCUGAA
rnacentral:rRNA from 1 species